rnacentral:rRNA from 1 species
AUUGAACGCUGGCGGCAGGCCUAACACAUGCAAGUGGAGCGAAGCGGGGACGGGUGAGUAACACGUGGAUAACCUCCUAUAAGACUGGGAUAACUUCGGGAAACCGGCGCUCAACAGGACACUUAUAGAUGGAUCCGCGCUGCAUUAGCUAGUUGGUAAGGUAACGGCUUACCAAGGCAACGAUGCAUAGCCGACCUGGGAGGGUGAUCGGCCACACUGGAACGGAGACACGGUCCAGACUCCUACGGAAGGCAGCAGUAGGGAAUCUUCCGCAAUGGGCGAAAGCCUGACGGAGCAACGCCGCGUGAGUGAUGAAGGUCUUCGGAUCGUAAAACUCUGUUAUUAGGGAAGCGGUACCUAAGCAGAAAGCCACGGCUAACUACGUGCCAGCAGCCGCGGUAAUAC